GAUGAACGCUGGCGGCGUGCCUAAUACAUGCAAGUCGAGCGAACAGACGAGGAGCUUGCUCCUCUGACGUUAGCGGCGGACGGGUGAGUAACACGUGGAUAACCUACCUAUAAGACUGGGAUAACUUCGGGAAACCGGAGCUAAUACCGGAUAAUAUAUUGAACCGCAUGGUUCAAUAGUGAAAGACGGUUUUGCUGUCACUUAUAGAUGGAUCCGCGCCGCAUUAGCUAGUUGGUAAGGUAACGGCUUACCAAGGCAACGAUGCGUAGCCGACCUGAGAGGGUGAUCGGCCACACUGGAACUGAGACACGGUCCAGACUCCUACGGGAGGCAGCAGUAGGGAAUCUGCCGCAAUGGGCGAAAGCCUGACGGAGCAACGCCGCGUGAGUGAUGAGGGUCUUCGGAUCGUAAAACUCUGUUAUUAGGGAAGAACAAAUGUGUAAGUAACUAUGCACGUCUUGACGGUACCUAAUCAGAAAGCCACGGCUAACUACGUG
rnacentral:rRNA from 1 species